rnacentral:rRNA from 1 species
AGAUUGAACGCUGGCGGCAUGCCUAACACAUGCAAGUCGAACGGGAGUAGCAAUACUCUAGUGGCGGACGGGUGAGGAAUACGUAGGAAUUUGCCCUUAAGUGGGGGAUAACCCGGGGAAACCCGGAAUUAAUACCGCAUGACCUCGAAAGAGCAAAGGUGGGGGAUCGCAAGACCUCACGUCUUUUGGAGAGCCUACGUCGGAUUAGCUAGUUGGUGAGGUAAUGCUCACCGAAGGCGACGAUCCGUAACGUACGUCGUGAGAGGA